AUGUUUAAAGCAGUUUUUAGUGAUUUUCAUUAAAAACUGCUUUAGACUACUAAGACAUCUUCCAGAUAUUAUUUGCAAAAUGAUUUGACAUAUGUUCUUUUUACAAUCAUUUUUACUAAAAAGUAUGAGAUAAUAUACUAUAAAUGAUGGCAUGGUUUAUGGGUAAAUUUAAAAUAGAUAAUUACAUAGAAUAUGAUAAUAAUUCAUAUAUGAUCAUUAAAAUAAAUAUACGUAUACGAUACUAAAUAAUAUAACAGAUGGAAAUAUAAUAUUUCUUGCAAAACCAACUGGAGACGAAGAGAGAAGACAUGCUUCCGGCUCAGCUCCCGUAGAGAGCGUUUUGUGAACCAAAAAAAAAACAGAGAGAUUUUUUUGGGUAGAGGGAUAUGGCUGUGUAUCUUAUAGAUGGGACUGAAUUUCUUGGGCUUUCAUUUUGUUUCUGCUUGACAAAAUUCUUGCUCGCUAUAAUUGGUAAGCAAGGAAAAUAACUGUGCUCUGGAUAAUAAUUUAUAUAUUAUUAUUGGUAAACUUAUCAAAAUUUUGUUAUAUUGUACACAGUUUCAGAUUAAGUAUUUUAAAAGAAGCAAUGCACCACACCAUUUUAUUGUAUGUGCUAAAAGCCUAAAAGAGUGAGUAUGUAUAAAUAAUGUUUUAGUAGUCUAAAGCAGUUUUUAGUGAUUUUCAUCAAUUUUAUUAUGUAUAUGUUUACUAACAAUUUGAAUAGUAAACUGAUUUUUAUUGUUAUUUAAAAAAUAUAUAAAGAAUAAACAAAAAGAUGAGCAAAAAUAUAAAGAAAAAAAUGAAAAACAUAAGCACAAAUUUAGAAAAACUGAAACAACAAACAACAAUGUAGAGGAAAAGUAAUAUAGACAAUUUUAUCCUAUAUCUCCAUAAUAUUGUUUAAAAUGUCAAUUUCUUACAAGUCGCGGUAAUGUUAAUUUUUAUAAUAGUCAGUUACAUAUGUAUCUUUAAUGAAUCAAAAUUAGUAUAUCUAAAUAUCAUUUUAAUAUUCCUAUUUUAGUUAGUAACAUUUAUUUUUCAUAAUAUAUAUAAAUAAUUAAAAUAUAAGAAAUAAUUUUUAAACUAUUUGAGUUAUUUGUUUCUUGUAAAUCAAGUCUAUGUUAAUAUUAAUAAAUUCAGUUAUACAAAUUAUAAAUAAUUUUAAAUAGACAUUUUAAAAUAAUAUUAUAGAUUUUUUCAGGGGCCGACCGAGGAAUGAGAGAUGUGUGCACGUGCCGCACUCUCUAUUAUAAACGUUAAAAAUUAAGAUAUAAAAAUUUAUAAUUAAGAAUUAAUCAAACAAUUGUAUUUUUAUAAAGAUAUUUUCUGAAAUAUUUCUAAUAUGUGAAUUUUUUAAAAAACUUUAACACAAUAACUAAAAUAUAUAUUUUGAUAAAAAAAUUGUCAAAUUUAAAUAAUUUGAUCUAUAAUUUAAACUUUUUGAAAAUAUUUAUAACAGUUUAUCAUGUUAAUUUAUGAAUUAAUAGGACAUAAACUAAUAAAUAUUCAUAAAGGAAAAAAAUAUCAUAUGUAUAAACAAAGACCUAUGGCCAGUAUAAAAAUAGGAUGAAGAUCUUGAAGUCUAGGUACCAUAGCUUUGCAGAUUUUUCAUAUCCCUGUGUCCUGUUCUGUUACUUGUUUGGUUACUACUGAGGAUCACCUACAACUAAUUACACUAUUCCUGUGACUCUCGUUUUUCCCAGCAUCAUUUGAAUCAUUACUUGUUCUCAUUCUGCAAAUAUGAAAAUAUGUCUUAUCUAUGGAUCCGUUCUUCAGUGACUUCCAACACCCCUAAUGAAAACUAAGCUAGAUGUCCAUGAUUACGUCUUUUGAUGGAAACUCUAGUUAGUCUUAUAUAGCUGAAGUGAUCUGAAGAACUUGUUCCUGCCUCUCUUUCUAGGCCAAUUUACAACAUCAUCCCUGUAGAUGUGCAGACUUUGGCACACCAACAUAUUUCAAAGGCUUGGUGUGCUCUUACAAAUCUCUCAAUAAAUAAUAAUACAUACCUGAGACCUGGCAUUACUCCUGCAGUUGAUGAUAUCAACACUAACUGUUCAUUUUCUAGGAGAGGAAGAUCCACUGCCAAAGUUACAUCCAACACUGAUGGAUCUUUCUAUGCACACAAUCAUCAAGAGGAUAGUCAAAAGAGAAUAAGAGGAACUGCAACAUCUUUUGACUGUUCCUCCUCCUCUUCCCCAGGUGAUGGUAAAUUAACUUCUGGAAAAGUUCCAUGGGUAAAUAACGAGGUUAAAAUCUAAAUAAAUAACUUAUUCUUAGCUGUGUUGAUAUUAAAGCAAACAAGAUGAGAAAACCAUUCUUAGCUAAUAACUAAUUCUUAGCUGUGUUGAUAUUCAAUUCUUAGCUGCAAGCAGCGCGUCCUUCAUUUGUUCCACAUGGCUGGAAGCUUGAAGACAGAGCCCUAGCUGUGUUGAUAUUAAAGCAAACAAGAUGAGAAAGCCACUUGGUUUUGUGAAAUAACCAUUAAGAAAGUGAGAGAAAUGGCAGCCACACCUUUACUCCAUGACUACAGUUGGAACAUGAUGUAGCGGAAGCCUUUAGGAUGUAGCGGAAGCCUUUAGGAUAGGACUAGAGAUCCGUUGAUUCUGAGAAUACCCGGAAAACUAGAAUAACAUAAAGAUCUUCUUAAAUUCGUUAAGAUCACCAAUGAUCUACCGAAAGCAAAAAAACAACAAAGAGAACUCUCAAUUUUAUUAAUAAAUCAUCAACUCAUAAACUCCCUAAAACCAUAGCCUCAAAGACUAUAUAUAUAUAAGAAAACAUAAAAACCCUAAAACAUUAGAGAUAAUUAUCUUAAUAAUAAAUAAACUCUAAAUAAAACACUAAAUAAAUAAGAUAUUUAUUCUAAAUAUCCUCUCUGCAUCAGAACAUAACUCAGGAGGCAAACAGGGCUGUUCUUUUCCUCUGGAAGCAAAUAUAUUAACAGAUGGUUGAUGGGUACACGUUGAAUGGUAGUGUUCCAUAACAAUUUCCUCUACGUCAAUACUCUCCGCUCCAAAGUAAGCACAUGUUGGAGUUGGUCUAAUUUUUCAAUUCUGCAGAAGUAGCAUCAAGAAUGUUACCUUGAGCAUGUCAUCAUCGUCAAUCUCGAUAGCUUCCACCUGUCUAGCUGGGUGUGCGAAGUUUCUAAUUGGUGGUACCUCCAUACCAUUUAUACAACCGGUUACUGAAUCUCCCUUUUAGUUUUUUCUUGGUGUCUUCGUUGUGUGUUGUUUAGUAUCCGCAUUUUAUGCCGAAUUACCCACUAUUUUUUCCCAACUUAUAAGAUGUUGUUGCACUACAAGAUCUCCAAUAUAUGUUUACGCUUGAUAUUUGACUCUAUUAUUCUUUCUGGGUUUUGAUUUACUCCUCUUUUUUGAUCCGUUAUGUUUUUCCAUGUGCAAGUGAUGAAAUAUUCUGCUUUUUUUUUUCCAGUAUCAAGCUAAUGAGCAGGUUACUCUGUGGGUGAACAAAGUCGGCCCAUAUAAUAAUCCACAAGAAACAUAUAACUACUAUAGCCUCCCAUUUUGCCGCAAAACUGAAAACGGCAUUCACAAAUGGGGUGGUCUUGGUGAGGUUCUUGGUGGAAAUGAGCUCAUCGACAGCCAGAUAGACAUAAAGUUCUUGAGUACGUUAGCUUCUAUGCUAGUUUUUUUUGUUAUCUUGAUUGCACAACAGUUAUAUUGCCUUCGUCUGUUUUUACUCCCAGAAAAUUGUGACAACCCAUCCUCUCACUAGGAACCUAGGUUCACAGCGCUGCAGCGCACCGAUCCCAACCCCUCCAUUAUGAGUCCUUUCUGACUCCAUAAUUAGGUUGUUGGUGAGACUCGAACCCAGGUUCUCACCCUUUAACAAUACUCCUCCAGGAUGAGUUGUCACCAAUUGACGACUUUUUAUGUGACAACCCAUCCUCUCACUAGGAACCUAGGUUCACAGCGCUGUGAACCUAGGUUCCUAGUGAGAGGAUGGGUUGUCACAAAAAUGUUGACAGAAGCGUGAUCUGUCAUUUGGAACUUGAUGAAGCUAAGGUCAAGCAUUUCAAAGAUGCCAUCGAAAAUAGCUACUGGUUUGAAUUAUUUAUGGGUAUGUAUCACAUUUACUUGUACAUUUUACUGAGGAAGAAAUAUCAAAGGAAAAAAAUUGAUUCGCUCGAUUGUAGAAGAUCCGCUGUUUGUUAUAUUUAAAAUUGAAAGUCUUCGCAACUCAUCAAAGGAACUUAAUGCUACAAUAUCACCAUAUGUCCAGUGUUCUUACGUCAGUGUAACUCAAACUUUCAACGUCCUUAGUUUACUUUUGUCUGCUUCUUUUUGUCACAAAUGAUGUUUUUUUUUGCUAGGAAUGUAAAUAUCAUAUAAAUAUGAGAAGGUUCAGAUAUACAAGAUAGCUGCAAGAUAUCACCUUGGCAAAAAAAGAUAAAAAACAAGGGGAUACAUAAUUGAGAAACAAAUGAUCAAGAGAAGAUUAAGAAAGCCAUCGAACCAUAAGACCUUCAAAGCGCUUUCUUCCCCUUCUUCAUGUGAUUACGUUGCGGACCUCGCGAUCAAUGAGCCUAACGACGGUCUGAGGGGGUAGACAGACUCCAUUGUGUAGACUGUUAUUCCUCUGCUUCCAUAAAUGAUACACUGUUGCCUGGGCCGCCACCAUUUUUAGUGUUGAAGGCGUACGUGGAUGCAAGUUAAGAAUAUGUUUAUUGCAGGUCUCUUAGGUUGGGUCUCUUAACGUAAUGUCGUAAUAUAAGAUACGGUCUCUUAGCUUUUUUAGCUUAUCACCAAAACAAAACCAUUUCAUAUCAACCUAAUCCAUAAUGCUGCUGCUAAAACAACACAGUGUAGAACCAGCUGGAUCGAGCCUCCGAUCCCCAAAACAACAGAUCCAAGCCAAAAAAACAAACAUGCAGCAGCGAGAUCAAGCUCGAAUCAAGCUACAAGCUAAGAAAGAAAGAUGACAGAGAUUCAAAUCUAACCUUGUGAUCUGACUCGGAGGCCGAAGCUGGAGAGAGAAAAAGUAAGACGCAUGCGACGACGGAUAAGAGGGAAGGGACAGCGGAGGAGGACACCAUAUCGGAACCCGGCGGAGGCUCACAUCUGAGGGCGCGGUGAUGGAAAGAGAGAGAUGUGUUGCCAGUUUUAUUUUCGUUUUCGUAAAAUUUAAUCUUUGAUUCGAAAAAUUGGGAUAGACAAAAUUGCCUCAAGAAUAUUUACAAUAACAAUCCAACUAGUUCGAUAUUUACUAAAAUAUCGCAAACCUAAAUAUCUUUUACUAAUUAACUACAUACUACCCCAAAUCUUUUAGUAUCUACCAAAAUACACUGAUCCUUUUAAUUAAUACCUUUUAGAGAUCUAACUAUCAAUCAACUAAAAAAUGUCAAUGAUUUGAAGGAAAAAGAUAAUACCUAUAUCUAUACUAUUAUUUUGUAAAAUAAUUUUUCGCAACAGAACUCUCACGUUAAAUAUUAGACGGAAACUAUUAUUUCGCCUUGUCGAAGGUUGUGUGGCGUCUGUGCUGCUUGCAGUUUAUGGUGUCUGUUCCUCUACGUUCCUCGAUUAGUAUGGUUCAGGAGGCUCCCGCAAGGUUUGCUAUCUCUCUUCCUCUAAUCAUCGAAUCUAGAGUUUCAUGAUCAGUCAAGUUACAAGUUUGAAGAUAUUAUCAAUACCUAGAUACUCUUGUGAUGUCAAUAGAAGUCCGGCAUCUGAAGCAACAAGGUAAACUCCACAUUCAUGUGGUAAACAUCAACAACGGCUGAGAACAGGGAAUGACUUUCUAAAGAUUCCGGAGUAGUCUAGCAGAUUGUGUCGGUUAAGUGGGCUAGUGAAUUUAGACUUGUAAUGUUUGAAUUAGAAAACUUUUGGUUGAAUCAAACUUGUAACCGGAAUUUAACUUGUAUUUCACAGUUUCAACAUUGAAACCUGAGAAACAAACAAGAACUCUCUCUCAGCUUCUUACACAAAGCAAAGUAAAACACUUGAACAACAAGCGAUCAACAGGAAUUUAGUUACUCAUCAAUGGUUGGAAUAGAGUUGUGGAUGGGACCACAAGUGAAAUUAUGAUAUCCACUCAUCAGUCUCUUUAGCAAACUCCAUCUUCUUCUUCUUCUCCAUCCCCAUUACUCUCUCGGCAAAAGAUAUAAUCUCAGAAGCUACAGCUCACACUCUCUUCCUCCACUUCUCACCAUCUCCUCCUUCAUCUGUCCUCUUCCUCUUCGAUCUCUCCUUGUGUCCCCACACAACUCCAGCGAAUCUGUUAACCGUUUCUGUUAAUUGAUAAUCCUUGAUUUGCUCUGUCUCUCAUCCUCUUCUUUGUCUUCUUCAUUUUCUUGUGUGUCCACUGCGGCGUCGCCACGACGGCGAUAUGAUAUCACAUCGUAAACCAACACGACAAUCGAAGAUCCGGAACCCCAUUAACUGAAACGUAUUCGGACAUAUCUCCGUCAGGUUUUUAACCGGCCUGGUUUGUUGAUUAAAAUUUAUUAGAAAAAACUAGUAUUAGCUCCCGUGCAUACCCACGGACAUUAUUCUUUUUUUAUUAUUAUUAUAUAACAUAAAUUACAAAUUCUAGUGAAUAUAAAUGUUAUUUUGAGAGUUAUUGGUAGACAAUUGUUUUUCUAAAAUAUAUUUAUAACUUAUAACAGCCUAAUAUGGAUCCAAAGUGCAUGUAAAAUAUUGAUCCGCUUAAUUCAAAAUCAUUAAAUAUGAAAACUAAGGGAAAGUAUAGAUCUAGCACAAAUAUAAUUAAAAUAUUAAAAAAAUAAUUAAAAUAUUAACUUUAAUUUGUAGAUAAUUGAGGUAUUUUUGCUCUUUACUUAUAUAUAUAUAUAUAUAUAUAUAUUUCUGUUUCCUUUUUUUUUAAUUCUGAGAAAAAAUGUUUGAGAAAGUAAGAACAUAACCAAAUUCCUAAAAAACCACGAUCACACAACCAACCCAAAAUAUAUUUCUGUUUUCUAUCUUGCUUUUUUUUUUCAUUGUCAAUGCUAUAUUUAUCCUAAAGUUUUUGUUUCUGAGAAAAUCUACAAAAAAAAAGAUACAAAAAACGUAUGUUGAUCCAAAAAAUAAUACCACCAUACAAAAAUAAGAAGACCAACCUGAAGUUAGAUCUUGAUACAGAGGUAGACAUGAGUCCUCGUUUCUUCUACCACUUGAUUUUCUUAAUCCCCAUUUUCUAUCUUCUUGUUAUCACAACAUAUUGUUUUUUCUUGAGUUGCUUCUUAUGUUGAUCUUCGUACUUCCCUUCCAUGAAUUACCACGACCACAACGAAGAAUCAUGUGCCAGCAAAUUGAAAACUAAUUUAGUCCUUCGAAAAUUCAUCAAAACAAAAUAAAAUAAAAUAAUUAUAAAAUAAGUUAGCCGAGAAAACUAACUUUUGUCUCCCAACCGAGAUAGCUAGGAUUUGUUGGUUGACGUCCUCCUCCAGCGGAGCUCCGGGGCGUAAGCCAGGCGCCUCCGUCGAUGCCUGCUUGGAGCCACUUCGGUGAGUUUUCGACUAAACUUCCCCCGGCUAUACUCUUGCUUCCUCCGAUUUGUUUCAGAUGCAGCAAGAAGUGCUUUGAUUAGGGUAAUUAUAUUGUUGUUAUACUUGAUCUUAUUGACUAUUGAUUUCAAGUUCUCUUGUUAGAAGUUUGAAAUUGAUCCUUGUGUAUCCUAGAGGUUUUUUAAUUUUUUUUGCGGUCUCUAGGAUCAAAUCAGCUUUUGAGCAGAUUGUGGUUUCAAGUUAAACUUGUAACCAAACCUUCAUUUUCAUUAAUGAUAUUUAUAAUUUAG